GCAGCGGUAGGUCAGUUGGUUAGAAUACCGGCCUGUCACGCCGGGGGUCGCGGGUUCGAGUCCCGUCCGCUGCGCCA
rnacentral:tRNA from 1 species